UAACAUGUGCGCAAGUCAUUGGGUUUUAAAAACCUAAAGGCGAAACAAAAGUGAAAAAAGCUUAGCUUUUAUAAGGGAAGAUGGUUUGCUAAAAUUUAUUUUUACAAGCCCGCAUUCCCGGGGCGUCUGUAACUCAUUGUGAGUUUAGGCGCACCUAGAGCGUACACGUUGGGACCCGAAAGAUGGUGAACUAUGCCUGGCCAGGGCGAAGCUAGGGGAAACCCUGGUGGAGGCCCGUAGCGAUUCUGACGUGCAAAUCGAUCGUCAGAGCUGGGUAUAGGGGCGAAAGACUAAUCGAACCAUCUAGUAGCUGGUUCCCUCCGAAGUUUCCCUCAGGAUAGCUGGUGUUUAUGAGAAAAGAAUCUCAUCUGGUAAAGCGAAUGAUUAGAGGCCUUGGGGUCGAAACGAUUUCAACCUAUUCUCAAACUAUUAAUAGAUGAGAAAUUGAGCUUGUUUAAAAAGUAAAGCUUGAGCUUUGAUCAAAACGCCAAGUGGGCCAAUUUUG
rnacentral:rRNA from 1 species